rnacentral:rRNA from 1 species
UUUGAUCAUGGCUCAGAUUGAACGCUGGCGGCAGGCCUAACACAUGCAAGUCGAACGGUAACAGGAAGCAGCUUGCUGCUUUGCUGACGAGUGGCGGACGGGUGAGUAAUGUCUGGGAAACUGCCUGAUGGAGGGGGAUAACUACUGGAAACGGUAGCUAAUACCGCAUAACGUCGCAAGACCAAAGAGGGGGACCUUCGGGCCUCUUGCCAUCGGAUGUGCCCAGAUGGGAUUAGCUAGUAGGUGGGGUAACGGCUCACCUAGGCGACGAUCCCUAGCUGGUCUGAGAGGAUGACCAGCCACACUGGAACUGAGACACGGUCCAGACUCCUACGGGAGGCAGCAGUGGGGAAUAUUGCACAAUGGGCGCAAGCCUGAUGCAGCCAUGCCGCGUGUAUGAAGAAGGCCUUCGGGUUGUAAAGUACUUUCAGCGGGGAGGAAGGGAGUAAAGUUAAUACCUUUGCUCAUUGACGUUACCCGCAGAAGAAGCACCGGCUAACUCCGUGCCAGCAGCCGCGGUAAUACGGAGGGUGCAAGCGUUAAUCGGAAUUACUGGGCGUAAAGCGCACGCAGGCGGUUUGUUAAGUCAGAUGUGAAAUCCCCGGGCUCAACCUGGGAACUGCAUCUGAUACUGGCAAGCUUGAGUCUCGUAGAGGGGGGUAGAAUUCCAGGUGUAGCGGUGAAAUGCGUAGAGAUCUGGAGGAAUACCGGUGGCGAAGGCGGCCCCCUGGACGAAGACUGACGCUCAGGUGCGAAAGCGUGGGGAGCAAACAGGAUUAGAUACCCUGGUAGUCCACGCCGUAAACGAUGUCGACUUGGAGGUUGUGCCCUUGAGGCGUGGCUUCCGGAGCUAACGCGUUAAGUCGACCGCCUGGGGAGUACGGCCGCAAGGUUAAAACUCAAAUGAAUUGACGGGGGCCCGCACAAGCGGUGGAGCAUGUGGUUUAAUUCGAUGCAACGCGAAGAACCUUACCUGGUCUUGACAUCCACGGAAGUUUUCAGAGAUGAGAAUGUGCCUUCGGGAACCGUGAGACAGGUGCUGCAUGGCUGUCGUCAGCUCGUGUUGUGAAAUGUUGGGUUAAGUCCCGCAACGAGCGCAACCCUUAUCCUUUGUUGCCAGCGGUCCGGCCGGGAACUCAAAGGAGACUGCCAGUGAUAAACUGGAGGAAGGUGGGGAUGACGUCAAGUCAUCAUGGCCCUUACGACCAGGGCUACACACGUGCUACAAUGGCGCAUACAAAGAGAAGCGACCUCGCGAGAGCAAGCGGACCUCAUAAAGUGCGUCGUAGUCCGGAUUGGAGUCUGCAACUCGACUCCAUGAAGUCGGAAUCGCUAGUAAUCGUGGAUCAGAAUGCCACGGUGAAUACGUUCCCGGGCCUUGUACACACCGCCCGUCACACCAUGGGAGUGGGUUGCAAAAGAAGUAGGUAGCUUAACCUUCGGGAGGGCGCUUACCACUUUGUGAUUCAUGACUGGGGUGAAGUCGUAACAAGGUAACCGUAGGGGAACCUGCGGUUGGAUCACCUCCUUACCUUAAAGAAGC